CCAGAUGGCCGGAUGGUCGCUUUGCCCCGUACGGGGUCGAGAGGAAAGUCCGGGCUCCACGGAAACACGGUGCCGGAUAACGUCCGGCGGGGGCGACCCUAGGGAAAGUGCCACAGAAAGCAAACCGCCAGGCCUGCGGGACUGGUAAGGGUGAAAGGGUGCGGUAAGAGCGCACCGCGACCUUGGCAACAAGGGCGGCACGGUAAACCCCACCGGGAGCAAAACCAAAUAGGGACGGCACGCUUUCGCAAGAAAGCAGGCAGGUUUUCGGGCUGCCGUCCGGGUCGGUUGCUAGAGGCGUUCGGUAACGGGCGUCCCAGAUGAAUGACCAUCCAGCGUCCAUUUACGGAUGGAUGCGGACAGAACCCGGCUUACAGGCCAUCUGGCGGC
rnacentral:RNase_P_RNA from 2 species